rnacentral:rRNA from 1 species
GUAGGUGGCAAGCGUUGUCCGGAAUUAUUGGGCGUAAAGCGCGCGCAGGCGGUCCUUUAAGUCUGAUGUGAAAGCCCACGGCUCAACCGUGGAGGGUCAUUGGAAACUGGGGGACUUGAGUACAGAAGAGGAAAGCGGAAUUCCAAGUGUAGCGGUGAAAUGCGUAGAGAUUUGGAGGAACACCAGUGGCGAAGGCGGCUUUCUGGUCUGUAUCUGACGCUGAGGCGCGAAAGCGUGGGGAGCAAACAGGGAUUAGAUACCCUGGUAGUCCACGCCGUAAACGAUGAGUGCUAAGUGUUAGGGGGUUUCCCGCCCCUUAGUGCUGCAGCUAACGCAUUAAGCACUCCGCCUGGGGAGUACGGCCGCAAGGCUG